ACGAAGGGUGCAAGCGUUACUCGGAAUUACUGGGCGUAAAGCGUGCGUAGGUGGUUUGUUAAGUCAGAUGUGAAAGCCCCGGGCUCAACCUGGGAAUUGCAUUUGAUACUGGCAGACUAGAGUGCGGUAGAGGAGAGUGGAAUUCCCGGUGUAGCAGUGAAAUGCGUAGAGAUCGGGAGGAACAUCAGUUGCGAAGGCGGCUCUCUGGACCAGCACUGACACUGAGGCACGAAAGCGUGGGGAGCAAACAGG
rnacentral:rRNA from 1 species